rnacentral:rRNA from 1 species
GGUGUAGCGGUGAAAUGCGUAGAGAUCUGGAGGAAUACCGAUGGCGAAGGCAGCCAUCUGGCCUAAUACUGACGCUGAGGUACGAAAGCAUGGGGAGCAAACAGGAUUAGAUACCCUGGUAGUCCAUGCCGUAAACGAUGUCUACUAGCCGUUGGGGCCUUUGAGGCUUUAGUGGCGCAGCUAACGCGAUAAGUAGACCGCCUGGGGAGUACGGUCGCAAGACUAAAACUCAAAUGAAUUGACGGGGGCCCGCACAAGCGGUGGAGCAUGUGGUUUAAUUCGAUGCAACGCGAAGAACCUUACCUGGCCUUGACAUACUAGAAACUUUCCAGAGAUGGAUUGGUGCCUUCGGGAAUCUAGAUACAGGUGCUGCAUGGCUGUCGUCAGCUCGUGUCGUGAGGUGUUGGGUUAAGUCCCGCAACGAGCGCAACCCUUUUCCUUACUUGCCAGCAUUUCGGAUGGGAACUUUAAGGAUACUGCCAGUGACAAACUGGAGGAAGGCGGGGACGACGUCAAGUCAUCAUGGCCCUUACGGCCAGGGCUACACACGUGCUACAAUGGUCGGUACAAAGGGUUGCUACACAGCGAUGUGAUGCUAAUCUCAAAAAGCCGAUCGUAGUCCGGAUUGGAGUCUGCAACUCGACUCCAUGAAGUCGGAAUCGCUAGUAAUCGCGGAUCAGAAUGCCGCGGUGAAUACGUUCCCGGGCCUUGUACACACCGCCCGUCACACCAUGGGAGUUUGUUGCACCAGAAGUAGCUAGCCUAACUGCAAAGAGGGCGGUUACCACGGUGUGGCCGAUGACUGGGGUG